AGAUCAUCCGCGCGCCAUCUAUCGGAGCGCAAGUGAGGGAACGAAAUGGAAAAUCGUCAUCGAUGGAUCAUCCCCUACGCCAGCGAUAGAUGGCUCUGCAGCUGGCUAUGACCCACGAAAUAUCGGACCCAAAAGCCCAGUGGAGAAACAGCCAACAUGGCCCAUAACAUAUUCCAACUACCUGCAGACCAGACCGAAGCUCACACACCAAGAUAACAUUCAGGUGAGUCUUUAAUUAUGGUUUAGUUAUUGCUACUUAUGGUUAGAGAGUGAUAUGCAGAGUCUCGUGCUCUUUAUAGAAAGGUGUACUGAAAUUCUGAAAUUAAAUAAAACAAAACGUUAUGAGAAAAAAUAGAAAAUCAUGGUAGUUGUUAUAUCUACCGAGAAGUUUUUCUUUCUUUUUUUUAUUCUUUCAUUGAAAUAUUUUGAUCAACGAUGUUAAGAAAGUAUCCGU